rnacentral:rRNA from 1 species
UACAGAGGUCUCAAGCGUUGUUCGGAUUCAUUGGGCGUAAAGGGCUCGUAGGCGGCUCAGUAAGUCGGGUGUGAAACCUCCAGGCUCAACCUGGAGACGCCACUCGAUACUGCUGUGGCUAGAGUCCGGUAGGGGAGCAUGGAAUUCCUGGUGUAGCGGUGAAAUGCGCAGAUAUCAGGAGGAACACCAGUGGCGAAGGCGGUGCUCUGGGCCGGAACUGACGCUGAUGAGCGAAAGCCAGGGGAGCAAACGGG